GAUGAACGCUGGCGGCGUGCCUAAUACAUGCAAGUCGAGCGAACAGACGAGGAGCUUGCUCCUCUGACGUUAGCGACGGACGGGUGAGUAACACGUGGAUAACCUACCUCUAAGACUGGGAUAACUUCGGGAAACCGGAGCUAAUACCGGAUAAUAUAUUGAACCGCAUGGUUCAAUAGUGAAAGACGGUUUUGCUGUCACUUAUAGAUGGAUCCGCGCCGCAUUAGCUAGUUGGUAAGGUAACGGCUUACCAAGGCGACGAUGCGUAGCCGACCUGAGAGGGUGAUCGGCCACACUGGAACUGAGACACGGUCCAGACUCCUACGGGAGGCAGCAGUAGGGAAUCUUCCGCAAUGGGCGAAAGCCUGACGGAGCAACGCCGCGUGAGUGAUGAAGGUCUUCGGAUCGUAAAGCUCUGUUAUUAGGGAAGAACAAAUGUGUAAGUAACUAUGCACGUCUUGACGGUACCUAAUCAGAAAGCAACGGCUAACUACGUG
rnacentral:rRNA from 1 species